GACGAACGCUGGCGGCGUGCCUAACACAUGCAAGUCGAGCGGGGUUGAAGCGAGGGGUAACUCGGACUUCUACCUAGCGGCGGACGGGUGAGUAACGCGUGGGCAACCUGCCUCAAGGUUUGGGAUAACAGCUCGAAAGGGCUGCUAAUACCGGAUAUGCCUGUGGCCUCGCAUGGGGCUAUGAGCAAAGGGGAAACCCGCCUUGAGAUGGGCCCGCGUCCCAUCAGCUAGUUGGUGAGGUGAAAGCUCACCAAGGCGACGACGGGUAGCCGGCCUGAGAGGGUGACCGGCCACACUGGGACUGAGACACGGCCCAGACUCCUACGGGGGCAGCAGUGGGGGAUCUUGCACAAUGGGCGAAAGCCUGAUGCAGCGACGCCGCGUGAGCGAAGAAGGCCUUCGGUUGUAAGCUCUGUCUGGAGGACGAAACGAAAUGACGGUACCUCCGGAGGAAGCCACGGCUAACGUACGUG
rnacentral:rRNA from 1 species